UACAGAGGGUGCGAGCGUUAAUCGGAAUUACUGGGCGUAAAGCGCGCGUAGGCGGCUUUGCAAGUCGGGUGUGAAAUCCCCAGGCUUAACCUGGGAACUGCAUUCGAGACUGCAUAGCUAGAGUAUGGGAGAGGGAAGUGGAAUUUCAGGUGUAGCGGUGAAAUGCGUAGAUAUCUGAAGGAACAUCAGUGACGAAAGCGACUUCCUGGACCAAUACUGACGCUCAUGUGCGAAAGCGUGGGGAGCAAACAGG
rnacentral:rRNA from 1 species